rnacentral:sRNA from 1 species
CUGCGAAAACCAGAAACAGCUCAAGACUGACCUGCGGUUUUAUAGUGCUUUUGGCAGUCAACUUCAGCUUUUGUCAGAGCAGACACGACAGAGCUGACCAAGGGCGAUAUACAGACGCCACCUACAUGGAAUUCGCGAUACCCUCAGAUGAAACG